UUUUAGUCACUUUUAUUUUAUUUUUAAUUUAAUUAGCUCAUUUGAAAGACCGACACGUGAAAUUUUUUUGUUAGACUCUUCCAAACUCUUAACAAUCCUUCCCUCUUCUUCUAUCUCUAUCUGAUGUGUUUGUGAGGCAGUCCGCUAUGAGGUUUUACUUUCAAUGCGCCUUCUCGGGAUCAGAUCUGAAGUAUUACUUCUAUCUGGUAAGCGAAUUGUUGCUUUUGAACAUGGCUUUCAUCACUACAUUGAUUGCAGGUGAUUAUGGGCUUGGUGACAUCUGGAUGCGCGGCGGUGUGGUAUAUCGGCAGAUAUGGAGAAGAAUCAGUGUAACCAUGUGGGGGAGUUUUGCAAUCAAAUGAUGAUAUCCAUGGUAUUAUCUUACUUGGCCUUCUUUUUCCUACUUUGCUCUUUCUGUUAUGUCUGGCAACAAAGUCAUGUACCAGUAUGAACCAUGGAAGGAAGGCAAGUCACAAGUGGCUGGUUGGUUGCGUCCUUCAAGAUUAGAGAUUACAGUGUUUCUAGGGAUAUUAUAUAUUUCAGAUUAGGUGUUGAUGGCUGGAGUUGGAUUGAGGUCCCAUUUUUUAAAUAUUGUUCAAGUUUAGGCUCGUUUUUGGAUAAUUCAACCCUUUAAAAAUUCAUUUUACUAUUCAAAAAUUAAUAACAUAUUAAAAAUAUAUUUUUUAUUAUUUAAAUUAAA